rnacentral:rRNA from 1 species
AGCGUACACGGUGGAUGCCCUGGCAGUCAGAGGCGAUGAAGGACGUGCUAAUCUGCGAUAAGCGUCGGUAAGGUGAUAUGAACCGUUAUAACCGGCGAUUUCCGAAUGGGGAAACCCAGUGUGUUUCGACACACUAUCAUUAACUGAAUCCAUAGGUUAAUGAGGCGAACCGGGGGAACUGAAACAUCUAAGUACCCCGAGGAAAAGAAAUCAACCGAGAUUCCCCCAGUAGCGGCGAGCGAACGGGGAGCAGCCCAGAGCCUGAAUCAGUAUGUGUGUUAGUGGAAGCGUCUGGAAAGGCGCGCGAUACAGGGUGACAGCCCCGUACACAAAAAUGCACAUAUUGUGAGCUCGAUGAGUAGGGCGGGACACGUGGUAUCCUGUCUGAAUAUGGGGGGACCAUCCUCCAAGGCUAAAUACUCCUGACUGACCGAUAGUGAACCAGUACCGUGAGGGAAAGGCGAAAAGAACCCCGGCGAGGGGAGUGAAAAAGAACCUGAAACCGUGUACGUACAAGCAGUGGGAGCACGCUUAGGCGUGUGACUGCGUACCUUUUGUAUAAUGGGUCAGCGACUUAUAUUCUGUAGCAAGGUUAACCGAAUAGGGGAGCCGAAGGGAAACCGAGUCUUAACUGGGCGUUAAGUUGCAGGGUAUAGACCCGAAACCCGGUGAUCUAGCCAUGGGCAGGUUGAAGGUUGGGUAACACUAACUGGAGGACCGAACCGACUAAUGUUGAAAAAUUAGCGGAUGACUUGUGGCUGGGGGUGAAAGGCCAAUCAAACCGGGAGAUAGCUGGUUCUCCCCGAAAGCUAUUUAGGUAGCGCCUCGUGAAUUCAUCUCCGGGGGUAGAGCACUGUUUCGGCAAGGGGGUCAUCCCGACUUACCAACCCGAUGCAAACUGCGAAUACCGGAGAAUGUUAUCACGGGAGACACACGGCGGGUGCUAACGUCCGUCGUGAAGAGGGAAACAACCCAGACCGCCAGCUAAGGUCCCAAAGUCAUGGUUAAGUGGGAAACGAUGUGGGAAGGCCCAGACAGCCAGGAUGUUGGCUUAGAAGCAGCCAUCAUUUAAAGAAAGCGUAAUAGCUCACUGGUCGAGUCGGCCUGCGCGGAAGAUGUAACGGGGCUAAACCAUGCACCGAAGCUGCGGCAGCGACGCUUAUGCGUUGUUGGGUAGGGGAGCGUUCUGUAAGCCUGUGAAGGUGUGCUGUGAGGUAUGCUGGAGGUAUCAGAAGUGCGAAUGCUGACAUAAGUAACGAUAAAGCGGGUGAAAAGCCCGCUCGCCGGAAGACCAAGGGUUCCUGUCCAACGUUAAUCGGGGCAGGGUGAGUCGACCCCUAAGGCGAGGCCGAAAGGCGUAGUCGAUGGGAAACAGGUUAAUAUUCCUGUACUUGGUGUUACUGCGAAGGGGGGACGGAGAAGGCUAUGUUGGCCGGGCGACGGUUGUCCCGGUUUAAGCGUGUAGGCUGGUUUUCCAGGCAAAUCCGGAAAAUCAAGGCUGAGGCGUGAUGACGAGGCACUACGGUGCUGAAGCAACAAAUGCCCUGCUUCCAGGAAAAGCCUCUAAGCAUCAGGUAACAUCAAAUCGUACCCCAAACCGACACAGGUGGUCAGGUAGAGAAUACCAAGGCGCUUGAGAGAACUCGGGUGAAGGAACUAGGCAAAAUGGUGCCGUAACUUCGGGAGAAGGCACGCUGAUAUGUAGGUGAAGCGACUUGCUCGUGGAGCUGAAAUCAGUCGAAGAUACCAGCUGGCUGCAACUGUUUAUUAAAAACACAGCACUGUGCAAACACGAAAGUGGACGUAUACGGUGUGACGCCUGCCCGGUGCCGGAAGGUUAAUUGAUGGGGUUAGCGCAAGCGAAGCUCUUGAUCGAAGCCCCGGUAAACGGCGGCCGUAACUAUAACGGUCCUAAGGUAGCGAAAUUCCUUGUCGGGUAAGUUCCGACCUGCACGAAUGGCGUAAUGAUGGCCAGGCUGUCUCCACCCGAGACUCAGUGAAAUUGAACUCGCUGUGAAGAUGCAGUGUACCCGCGGCAAGACGGAAAGACCCCGUGAACCUUUACUAUAGCUUGACACUGAACAUUGAGCCUUGAUGUGUAGGAUAGGUGGGAGGCUUUGAAGUGUGGACGCCAGUCUGCAUGGAGCCGACCUUGAAAUACCACCCUUUAAUGUUUGAUGUUCUAACGUUGACCCGUAAUCCGGGUUGCGGACAGUGUCUGGUGGGUAGUUUGACUGGGGCGGUCUCCUCCUAAAGAGUAACGGAGGAGCACGAAGGUUGGCUAAUCCUGGUCGGACAUCAGGAGGUUAGUGCAAUGGCAUAAGCCAGCUUGACUGCGAGCGUGACGGCGCGAGCAGGUGCGAAAGCAGGUCAUAGUGAUCCGGUGGUUCUGAAUGGAAGGGCCAUCGCUCAACGGAUAAAAGGUACUCCGGGGAUAACAGGCUGAUACCGCCCAAGAGUUCAUAUCGACGGCGGUGUUUGGCACCUCGAUGUCGGCUCAUCACAUCCUGGGGCUGAAGUAGGUCCCAAGGGUAUGGCUGUUCGCCAUUUAAAGUGGUACGCGAGCUGGGUUUAGAACGUCGUGAGACAGUUCGGUCCCUAUCUGCCGUGGGCGCUGGAGAACUGAGGGGGGCUGCUCCUAGUACGAGAGGACCGGAGUGGACGCAUCACUGGUGUUCGGGUUGUCAUGCCAAUGGCACUGCCCGGUAGCUAAAUGCGGAAGAGAUAAGUGCUGAAAGCAUCUAAGCACGAAACUUGCCCCGAGAUGAGUUCUCCCUGACUCCUUGA